UGGGGCGGUCCCGAAAGGAGCCAGCGACGGCCGUCCCUGCUCGGAAACUGGGGCCCCCGCCCGCCCCUAACACCCCCAGGGCAGCCCUGAAGAGAAGCGAGGAGUCCCCCAGCGCCGUGCUCAGAAGGCCGGCAGAGAGUCAAACGUCAGAUUGUGGAUUCAGACGCAUGAAUUUCACGGAAUCCUUUCUCAUCAAAACAACAGUCAUCUGCCUUGGGAGUCAAUCUGGGUGGACUGCCCAGAGGAGACCACGUGUGCCCCCAGCCCUCACUGACCCGCUCAAGGCAUCUGUCUCUCCUCAUUCCCCUCUCCCUGGCCACAGCCUUGGGGCCAGAGGAGGGUGUGGACCCUGGGCCAGGGCAAACAGUAGGCUCUUCCUGUGGAGCAAAGGGAUGCUGGAGCUGGUGCAGCCUUUUUGGCACCUUGAGGAAUUGUCGAGCAAGGAGACAAAGCGUCCGUGGCUCUGAGUCAUCUCUGGCCUGUUUCUACGGUCCUCAUCGAAACCACCCCACACCGGAGAAUGCGUGAACAACCAGAAGAGGUCCCUGGGAGACAGAAGGGGCCAGGCCAGAAGGACACCUGUCAUGGGGUUCAGACCCACCCUCAACCAGGAUCGGCUCAUCUCCGAUCCUUCACUUUCCCACAUCUGCAAAGACCGUGUUUCCAGACAAGGUCCUGUUGUGAGUUCGGCUGGAGUCCAAAGCAGGGGAGACAGUGUAUAACCCACAGCAGGGUCUUCUGCCCUGACUCACUCCCUCAGGUUGGCCAACACAGCCCAGAAGCCAGCACAACCCGGAUCUCCGGACGCAAGCCGUAAAAAUCAGCACGCAGUGCAGACAGCCGGGUGUGGACGGCUGGAAGAAAGUCUGGGGGCCCAGGGCGGAGACUGAGCAAAGAAGUUACACGUGUCUCAGGACGGCAGCGGGAAACCCCUUCUGCUGGGGCUGAGCCUUCAGCUUGGUUGCAUCAUGAAAACGUCACUCUUGGAAAUAGACGAUUACGAAAAAAGCGGUUAUUUCUUGUCGUGAUUCAUACAAUGCUGCUAUUUUCCCCCAAAAACUCAAACUAAAACCAUUACUUGUGAAAGCUUCCUCAAGUCCUCGCGGUUUCCAUGGAUUGUGCUUUUUUUCAGCCACACGCGAGCUUAUCAAGGUCAACAGCCUUGGUCUCAAACAAAAGCAAACCAUCCAAACAGCUUUGUUUCUGGCUUGUUUUCUCCUAACA